GACGAACGCUGGCGGCGUGCUUAACACAUGCAAGUCGAACGGAAAGGCCCUGCUUGCAGGGUACUCGAGUGGCGAACGGGUGAGUAACACGUGGGUGAUCUGCCCUGCACUUCGGGAUAAGCCUGGGAAACUGGGUCUAAUACCGGAUAGGAGCCAUUUUUAGUGUGAUGGUUGGAAAGUUUUUUCGGUGUAGGAUGAGCUCGCGGCCUAUCAGCUUGUUGGUGGGGUAAUGGCCUACCAAGGCGGCGACGGGUAGCCGGCCUGAGAGGGUGGACGGCCAAUUGGGGAUGGGGAAACGGCCCAGACCCCACGGGGGGGCAGAAGGGGGGAAUAUGGCAAAAUGGGCGGAAGCCUGAUGCAGGGACGCCGCGUGGGGGAUGAGGGCCUUCGGGUUUUAAACCCCUUUCGCCAGGGACGAAGCUUUUUGGGCCGGUACUGAGAAAAGAAGCCGCGGCAAACUACGU
rnacentral:rRNA from 1 species